AAACACUCAGGAAAUUUUGAAAAUCUUAUAUUGAGGUAAUUUCAGCCUAGGAAAUGACUUGAAGAAACCCUUUACUGUUGUUACCACAAGCAAACGAGCUUUGUACUUUUAGAAAGUUUUUAUUCUUAACCGGAGUUUCAGCUAUAUAUAUAGUUGGUUAUAGAGUAACCAUUGCUUCCAUGAUGCCGUAAGAAGCCUACUUCGACCAUGUUUGUUUAGUAGCUAAAUCUGACGCCGUUCCAUCCAAACAAGCCCAUCCACACAUUUGUAUCGUCC
rnacentral:lncRNA from 1 species